rnacentral:rRNA from 1 species
AUAAAGAAUNNNACNUGCUCGGUGAGUGAUAUAUUUUAACAGCCGCAGUAACCUGACUGUGCGAAGGUAGCAUAAUCAUUUGCCCCAUAAUUGGGGGCUAGUAUGAAUGGUUGGACGAAAGAAUAAUUGUCUCUUUUUUGUUUUUUAGAAUUUUACUUCUAAGUGAGGAGGCUUAGGUUAUAUUAAUAGACAAGAAGACCCUGUCGAGCUUAUAUAUGAUUAUUUGAAUUUUUUAUUUUAUUUUAUAAAUUUAAUUUCAUUUAGUUUAUUUGAUUGGGGCAAUCAGAGAACAGUUAAAGCUUCUCUUAAGUGUGGUAUAAAUUAUUUAAAUUGAUCCGGGUGUUAUUUCCGAGUAAAAGAAUAAGUUACCGCAGGGAUAACAGCAUUAUUUUCUUGGAGAGUUCAUAUCGAUAAGGGAGUUUGUGACCUCGAUGUUGGAUCAGAAUUUCCUAUAGAUGCAGAAGUCUAUGAGGGUUAGUCUGUUCGACUAUNAAAAUUCUA